UACGUAGGGGGCAAGCGUUGUCCGGAUUUAUUGGGCGUAAAGAGCGUGUAGGCGGCUGGGUAGGUCCGUUGUGAAAACUCGAGGCUCAACCUCGAGACGCCGAUGGAAACCCUCCAGCUAGAGUCCGGAAGAGGAGAGUGGAAUUCCUGGUGUAGCGGUGAAGUGCGCAGAUAUCAGGAAGAACACCCGUGGCUAAGGCGGCUCUCUAGUACGGUACUGACGCUGAGACGCGAAAGCGUGGGGAGCGAACAGG
rnacentral:rRNA from 1 species